GAUCCUGGCUUAGGAUGAACGCUAGCUACAGGCUUAACACAUGCAAGUCGAGGGGAAACGACAUCGAAAGCUUACUUUUGAUGGGCGUCGACCGGCGCACGGGUGAGUAACGCGUAUCCAACCUGCCCACCACUUGGGGAUAACCUUGCGAAAGUAAGACUAAUACCCAAUGAUAUCUCUAGAAGACAUCUGAAAGAGAUUAAAGAUUCAUCGGUGAUGGAUGGGGAUGCGUCUGAUUAG
rnacentral:rRNA from 1 species